ACCGACACCUAAACGCACCAAGCUAGCCUGACAGCUAGCUAGCUAGACAGUUUAAAAACGCACAAAGAGUGUUGUUUUUCCUCUGACAGCCAACAUGGACUUAAACAACGUGUUGUCGCAGCUCGAAAGUGCUAAUGAGGUGGACAUUGAGGAGCUUCUCAAGGUGUUUAAUCGAGAGAACAGCCACACCUUCACUUUCGACCCAAAGGAGGAAACGCUGCGCAGUAAGCUCUGCCAGAGUGUUCUGAUAGUGCUCGGGAUGCACGUGCAGCCCAGCUGUCAGAAGACGUGUCUGGAGACCCUCCGCAUCCUCUCCCGGGACAAGUGCGUCCUGACACCAGUCGCCACCCGGGACGGCAUGCUGACUCUGGCCAAGAUGGCCCGUUUGGGCACAGGGGAGACGGCGGGCGACGGCCAGGAGCCCCCGCAGCCAAGCGCGCCGGUGGCCGAGGAGGAGAGAGUAGUGGUGGUGGAGGCCCUGAAGUGCUUGUGCAACGUGGUGUACAACAGCGCGGCGGCUCAGCAGGUGAGCGUGGAUGUGAAACUGGCACACGGCCUGUGCGCUAGCCUGCACGCGGCCGCCGCGUGGCACCACGAGGUGGGCCUGUUCACGCUGCGCCUCCUCUUCCUGCUGUCGGCGCUGCGCUCGGAUCUGCGGGGGGAGCUGAGGAGGGAAAAGCAGGUGGUGAAGCGCCUGGCCGAGGUGCUGGAGCACACCCUGGACGUGAGGUGGGCUGGCACCUACGAGGCCGCCCUGCCGGACCCCCAGGCCCUGCCCCUGCCUGCAGAGGAAAAUGAGAGAGCAAUGGAAGCUCUCAAAGCUCUCUUCAACCUCACUGUGUGCAAUGUUGGUGGCAAGGAGGACGACCACCAGUACAGAGUCAUCGCGGCCAUCCUGCGCCACAUGCUGAUGUUAAGGACCGAGACAGAGGAGAAAACGGAGGAAGCACACAGCCAUGCUGUCAAUCUGUUGAACAACCUGCCCGUGUCCUGCCUGGACGUUUUAAUCGACUUGCCCGUACGGGGAGGCCUGGAAGAAUAUGGCGGCAAAAACAUGGACGCCAUACAGGUGUUACUGGACUUCAUGGAGAAACGGAUCGACAAGGGCGCCAACUACAAAGAGGGUCUUACUCCUGUGCUCAGCCUGCUGACUGAAGGGUCCAGACACCACAGAGAGAUCCGCCGAUAUAUCAAAACUCAGGUGCUUCCUCCACUCACAGAUGUGAAGAUCAGGCCAGAGGUGGGAACCACCACCAGGAACAAACUGGUGCGCCUGAUGACGCACGUGGAAAUGGCCGUCAAGCAGGCGGCUGCAGAGUUUCUCUUUGUCUUGUGUAAAGAGAGUGUGGACAACCUGUUGAAGUACACGGGUUACGGGAACGCGGCAGGACUCCUGAUGGCGCGAGGGCUGCUGGGAGGAGGGAGAGGGGAGACAGAGUACUCACCGGACGAAGACUCUGACACAGAAGAAUACAAAACUGCAAAACCUUUCAUCAACCCCAUCACCGGUCAUGUGGAGGAGCCCAUGCCCAACCCCAUGGAGGAGAUGACCGAGGAGCAGAAGGAGUAUGAAGCCCAGAAGCUUGUCAACAUGUUGGACAAGUUGUCGAGGCAGAGCUUGAUCCGUCCCAUGGGAGUCAAGCCAGACGGGACGUUAGCCCCCCUGGAAGAAACGCUGCAUGCGCCGCCUGGAGACGACGCUGGAUCAGACUCUGAUUAGAGCAAAACACGCCACGUGUCGGGAGUGGGCGGGGGCUGAGCCCAGAGAGGGAGGAAAAGCCCCCAAGCUGUGUCACAUUUCAAGGCUGGAUCUUUCAGAUGACCUCAUGGAAGGUCGCCCAGUUCCACGUGGUCCCCCCUGCGCAACGGGAUCCUCUGGAACGGUCCCACGGCGUGCCGGUUGAGGAGGAGACGCGGCACCGUGGCGCGCACUGUGUUCACCAGGCUGGCAAAAGGCUCGAUCUGAAAUGCCAUUUGUUAACAAUUCAAGUGACGUUGGAAGGUGGGAGCUCCUCAGAUGCUGCUGACGACCUGUAGCGACGUCCCCAUGAUGACCAGCAGGUCAGCUUUGGGGAAGUCUUUGGUAUGGAGGAAGUACUUCUGAGGAAGGUCCUCGCCAAAAAAAACCACGUCGGGCUUGACCGUGGCAGCGCAGAAUGUGCACGUGGGGACGUCGCCGCUCAUGAUGGCGCGCUAGGAGACAAUUGCCGAUGUCAAAAGUGGGCAACCUGCGUGAUAUUGAAAUGUGUUCAUGGGGGUUCAAACACACCUUUGCUUCCUCUGAGGGGUACGGCGUGUAGCACAGGUGACAGGAAGCGGUGGCAAAACUGCCGUGAGCUUCUACCAGUUUGUCAUCAGGGAUGCCGCACACUGAGGAGGCAACCAUUACUUAAGUAAACAAAGCCAAAAUCUAAAAACGGACUUGAACACGUUGGAUCGGAUGCCGUUUGAAAUAGUGCUCUUAUUUUAACUGUAAUCGGUUGCUACCAGACAGAAUGGCUUUAUGAGAGUGACACUUCAUGAAAAAACGUUUCUCAGAAGAAAAGCAAUUUAAAACCACAGGUUAAAAAUUGAUUAUCGAUAGAGGAGGCCCAGUGUUUAGUAGGUCGUUCACCCCACAUUUCUCAGGUUCCGGGUUUGAAUUUCCGCUGCGGCCAUCCUGUAUGUUUGUAGUUUGCAUGUUCUCCCUGCGUUUCCGUGGGUUGGCUCCCACAUUCUAAAGACAUGCAGGUUCGGUUCAUGGAGGAAUCUAAAUUGGCCAUAGGUGUGAAUGUGAGUGUCAAUUAAUGCUUGUUUGUCUAUAUGUGUCCUGCGAUUGAUUGGCGACCGGUCCAGGACGUACCCCACCUCUGGCCCAAAGUCAGCUGGGCUAGGCUCCAGCCCACCCGCGAUCCUAAUGAGGAUGUGCUAUAGAAAAUGGAUGGAGGAUUGAUGGAAGCCCACUACUAGCAAAGUCCUGACCACUUCUGUCAAAUUCAAUGUGGCCUACUGGAAAGAUGCCCAGUUGUAUUUUUACAUGCGGCACUCACAUUUCUCCAGGCCGUCGAUGUUCUGCGUGUAGACGCGGAGCAGCAGGCCCUUGUGGUGCAGCAUGCGGAUGAAGAAGUGGAUGUAGUUGGGUCUGUGGCUCCCGGGAUAGAGCACCUUGGCCAGAGAGAAGAAAGGCUGUGGGUCGUUGGAGAAGUAGUCGACGUUGAAAAUGGCUUCCGGGUAGGGGAUGUUGUAUGCCUCCAAGUUGGCGUAAAGGCCCGUUCCUGGAGUUCUGACAAAAGCCAGUAGCCAGUUGAAGAGGGCGCUCCAAUUAUGAAAUAAAAGAGGGGCCAGAACACAAACCUGAAGUCGGGAAUUCCGCUGGCGGUGCUGAUUCCGGCUCCUGCCACCACCACAAUGUUCUUACAGCGACCCAUCUUCAUCCGAUGGGCCACGGAGGCCAGGCCGCCACCAGAUUUGGCCAAAGAGGGGCCAUCUUGACGUUGACCUAACUGCUUUCCUUCACUGAAGAAGCCAAGAGAAGACCCAAGGAGAGUUUCAAAGAUGAAGUCAUAAUAUGAUUCUCAAAGAAUCAAAAGUUUUCCCACCUGGCAGUCAGGCCUCCCUGCCCGCUUACGCUCAUCUGACUGAGGUCCUGAGUCAGUGCAGAGUGCGACUGCUUCUUGCGUUGUUUCCUGUACUGGCCCGGUCCAGAGUCCUUAGACCCGGUACUGCUGCAACUGCGUGUUAGUCGAGCGACCGCAGGCCAUGUGGAUCUUUUAUCCUCGUUGGACUUGGACCUGCUCAUCCCUGCACCUUGCAGCCCUCCAUAAAAAUAAAAAAAAAUUAUUAUUUUUUUUUUUUACACAAAUCAUGCUUAAAAAGAAGGAAAUCUGCCAUUUUGAUUUGAAACAGUCAUUUUAGAAUCAGAAUCAUCUUUAUUUGCCAAGUAUGUCCAAAAAACACACAAAUAAUUUGUCACUUUAGCCAUUUUUAGGGGUCAAACAAAACUGUAUUUUUUUGUAUUUGCUUUGCUUUAACUCGGCUGUCUGCAGCCAGGUCGGCAUCGCAAAUGAGAAUCUGUUCUUAAUUGCUUCACCUCGAUAAAUAAAGGUGGCAAAAAUAACUUGUUGAGAUCUCCGACUGCUACAAAACCUAACCAUGCAACGUGGUACCUUGACUUAGAUACAUAGCUGCUCAAGUAAAAAUGAAAAAAACAGCAAAAGUUGCCAAUGCAGAACAGCAACUUUAAGCCAAAAUGUACACCCAGAUGCUCAAACAAUGACUAGCCGACCAUGUUCCUGACAUCGCUCACUAGGUCACACCCCUUAAAGGCACACAUACACCGCUACUGUUGUAGUGACUCUACUUGGCCCAAUCUACAAUUAUUACACUAUAAAACCAGUAUAUUUACAAUCCCCUUUAUUAUGUUUUCAUUAGGGCUGCAACUAACAACGAUUUUAAUCAUC